GAGGCGGGGCAGCCUCCUGCAAGGCGUCGCUCCCUGCACCCGAAUUUCUCCGCCUCCGGCCCGCAGACGCUAGAGGUCCCACACCAAUGCACUGCACGAACGGAUCUCCCAGGGAAGCAAUAUGAACGGAUGUUCUCCGAAGAAGCCAUAUCUGGGUUGAAGAUCCUGCAUGCUGAAGGCUGAACUACAACUUCAGAUGGCAAAGAAGAGACUCCGCAAAGAAGAGACUCCGUGUCGCUCAUUCCUCACCCCAUUCAGUUUAGAAAUUCUGAUGACUGGCUGUAAAGAUGAUGAUGAUAAGAAGCCCCAAGUUCCUUCUAACCCAGCAAGUAGGUGGUGGUGUCUGGAGAAACUCCCUGAGACAGAUGGUGGCCUUCUUUUGAGACUCCCCCCAAAACAUGCCUCCAGGCUGGCAAAGUGGCUCAGCAGGUAAAGGUGCUUGCUGCGGAGUCUGAUGACCUGAGUUCAAUCCUGGGGAUGCACAAGGUGGAAGAGAGAACUGACUCCUGCAAGUUGU